AUUCGGCGUUUUGAGAUCAACAAAACACCGACGUAGAUUUUAUUUUCACUGAGAAAAAAAAUUAAAUCCAAAAGAAAUGAUUUGUUCUUCUACCUUACGCAUGUCCGGCACCGGCACCGGCACCAGAAACGGCCCAUCUCCUCCGGCAAGUUCUGAAACUUCCGAUGAAUCUCAGCCGCAGGUUCAAAGGAUUAAAGCCAGUCCCCGGUUAAACCGGUGGUCCAGAGCUCGAAGCAUCAGGUCCGGCAGGAAACUAGACCGGUCUGCUGUCAGUGUCAACACUGAAUCACGCGCCAAGUCCGUUUCACCGGUUUGGAGUGAACCGGAAAUUGAGUUGCCUAUAUCUCCUAAACGUGAUAGCCGGUCCGGCUCGUCAGAGGAUGAAAAGGAGGUUAACGGAGGUAAGCCGAUAUUUAUGGUCUCUGAUGGAACUGGAUGGACGGCGGAGCACGCCGUUAACGCAGCGUUAGGACAAUUUGACUAUUGCUUAGUCGAUCGUGUUUGCCCUGUGAAUACUCACUUGUUCUCUGGGAUAGAUGAUGUUGAACAAUUAAUGGAGAUAAUAAAGCAAGCAGCCAAAGAAGGGGCAAUGGUUGUCUAUACUUUAGCUGAGCCUUCCAUGGCUCAAUUUGCCAAACAAGCAUGUCAACACUGGGGUGUAGCAUCUAAUGAUAUACUAGGGCCAAUUACCGAGGCAAUUGCUGGCCAUCUGGGCGUUUCACCUUCUGGCCUCUCUCGUUGGGCUCCUGAGAGGCAGAAAUCUCCUCUCAGCGAGGAAUACUUCCGAAGGAUUGAAGCAAUCGAAUUUACCAUAAAGCAAGAUGAUGGCGCCUUGCCACGAAACCUACAUAUGGCGGAUAUAGUUCUAACCGGUGUUUCACGAAGUGGGAAGACACCGCUAUCUAUUUAUCUAGCACAGAAAGGAUAUAAAGUAGCUAAUGUCCCAAUUGUCAUGAAUAUAGAUUUACCCAAGACACUCUUUGAAGUUAACCCGGAAAAGGUUUUUGCUUUGACAAUAAAUCCUGUUGUUCUGCAAUCCAUCAGAAGAGCAAGAGCUAAGACGCUGGGUUUUGAUGGAGAACUGAAGACCAACUAUUGUGACAUGGAUUAUGUGAAAGAAGAGUUGGAAUACGCGGGGAAAAUUUUUGCGCAGAACCCUGUCUGGCCAGUGAUAGAAGUUACGUCUAAAGCUAUUGAAGAAACAGCUGUUAUUGUUCUGAGACUUUACCAUGACAGAAAGAACAGGUGUUCAAUGCCAAGAAUUUCCAAACGCUAUUAAACUGUUGUUCUCAAGCAUUGAUGGAUCAGAUCUCAAAGACAAAUACUUGAAAUCGAAGGCAUCUUCUUUGUGCUGGCAGUCCCAGAGCAAUAAAUGUACGGUGGUUGCAACCUAUGUAUAACAGGUGUUGUACAUUUUGCUUGAUAUUGUACAGUGCUAUAUGUAGUUUGCACACAUAAUAGUUGGCAUAGGCUCUCAAAAGAAACCGAGAUGAGUGGGAGGCAGGAAAUGAAGAAAAGGUGAGAAAAAUAGCAAAAGGGAAAAAAGAAUAACAUGCAUAUAUUUAUGUAAUGAGAAGCUUCUGUGGCCACGCUUGCCAACACACCAUGGCGGAUUCAGAAAAAAUUUGUUCUAUGGAUUCAAUGUUUAAGUUUUUUAACAUUAAACCUGUUAUAUUUUUAAAGUUUAUAGGUUCGUAGGUACUAGUUUUUGUAAUUCUAAUAAUAUUUUACACAUAAUUGUAUAUGCAGCAUGCGGAAAGUAGUGGGCAGGGGCAGCUCGGUAGGGUUAAAA